rnacentral:lncRNA from 1 species
UUGUGUGUAGAACGCUAGAUCAAGGUUUGACUUUUUCGACGUCCCUGAUUUGAUCUAGGAUCUGAUCGUGCGGCCGAGAUUAAUCCAACUUCAAAGCUUGAUCUAGGACGAUCUAGACCGAACCAGACUUAGCUCCAGGUACUUGACGGUUUGAGCUGACGAGCGUUUGGAAUAUCGUUAUAUUUGACUUUUUAGAAGACGCAGCUGGAUUAGAGGUGAGUAAACCUCACAUGGUUCAUAUUACGAACCGAAUAAAUUUAAUUACUUUAUUUUUGUGGUAAUUGUGUGAAAAUAUUUAUGGAAUAAAUAUUUGUUUUAAAUCAUAUGGACUUGAUCAACUACGGUCCAUAGGUAAGUAAAAUGAUUUUAUUAUACAAAUGAAUUUCACGGUUUUUAUGCUUGAACUAUAGUUGGUAUUAGUAGUCAUUCCUGAGCGGAUGAUUACGUAUAUAUAUAUUUACGUGAAAUAUAUAUGUUGAUUGGCGUGUGAUUGGUAUGAUGAAAUGAUUGAGAAUUGAUUGGAUAUUAUUCAAGCUAUUAAUCUCCCAUUUAAUUGUUGAAUAAUGAAAUGUUGAUCAUGUGAUGUGAAAGCUAUUUUAUAUGCCAAAUUGUGAAUAUGUGGAAAUUAUUUUAAGAACCGGGUGA